AAGAAAUUGGAAUCGAGGCAAGGAACCCAUUGAUCCGGGGUCCGGGUAGAAUACCUGCCUUCGGAGUAUCGCGGCCAUGGCCCUUAGAUUCGAUUCAAACCCCAAACGCCUCAGAGAGCAUUAUCAGCCGAUCGAGCAUGACUAACAAAAGGCCGUGCUAUUCGUGAUCAACCGGAUAUCACGGCAUGAAUUUCGACACGUAUCAGCAGAGGACCAGUGAUUAGUUAAACAUAAGAUUUUACCUUUUAUGAAAUUGUACUUAUGGUAAAACUCUCCUGCUAUAUGACAGGAGUCUAAUUAUUCAUUAGGUAUAUUGUAC
rnacentral:lncRNA from 1 species